rnacentral:tRNA from 1 species
GCCUGAGUGGCUCAGUUUGUUGAGCAUCUGACUUUGGCUCAGAUCAUGAUCUCACAGCUCCUGGGUUCAAGCCCCAGGUCGGGCU